rnacentral:rRNA from 1 species
AGAGUUUGAUCCUGGCUCAGGAUGAACGCUAGCUACAGGCUUAACACAUGCAAGUCGAGGGGAAACGACAUCGAAAGCUUGCUUUUGAUGGGCGUCGACCGGCGCACGGGUGAGUAACGCGUAUCCAACCUGCCCAUCACUUGGGGAUAACCUUGCGAAAGUAAGACUAAUACCCAAUGAUAUCUCUAGAAGGCAUCUGAAAGAGAUUAAAGAUUUAUCGGUGAUGGAUGGGGAUGCGUCUGAUUAGCUUGUUGGCGGGGUAACGGCCACCAAAGCAACGAUCAGUAGGGGUUCUGAGAGGAAGGCCCCCCANAUUGGAACUGAGACCACGGUCCAAACUCCGUACGGGAGGCA